rnacentral:rRNA from 1 species
UACAGAGGGUGCGAGCGUUGUCCGGAAUUACUGGGCGUAAAGGGUGCGUAGGCGGCUUUCUAAGUUGGAUGUGAAAACUCUGGGCUCAGCCCAGAGCCUGCAUCCAAAACUGGAGAGCUAGGGUUCUGGAGGGGAAAGCGGAAUUCCUGGUGUAGCGGUGAAAUGCGUAGAUAUCAGGAGGAACACCGGUGGCGAAGGCGGCUUUCUGGACAGAUACCGACGCUGAGGCACGAAAGCUAGGGGAGCAAACAGG